GGGCUUCAGCUAACGCGGCAGAUCUGCUGGGAUUCCUCGGUGGUACUUACACCACGCCCAGCGCAUACGAUAUAUUCUAUCAAUUCUUCUCCGGGGAUUCUGAUUUGCUAUCAUUGGAUACAACACUUAAUAUUAAAAAUUUAUCAGACAGGGAUCUGGCAGUAAUUCUCUCACUGGUUCAUGU